rnacentral:rRNA from 1 species
GACGAACGCUGGCGGCGGGCUUAACACAUGCAAGUCGAACGGAAAGGCCCUGCUUUUGUGGGGUGCUCGAGUGGCGAACGGGUGAGUAACACGUGAGUAACCUGCCCUUGACUUUGGGAUAACUUCAGGAAACUGGGGCUAAUACCGGAUAGGAGCUCCUGCUGCAUGGAGGGGGUGGGAAAGUUUCGGCUGUUGGGGAUGGACUCGCGGCUUAUCAGCUUGUUGGUUGGGUAGUGGAUUACCAAGGCAUUGGCGGGUAGCCGGCCUGAGAGGGUGACCGGCCACAUUGGGACUGCGAUACGGCCCAGACUCCUACGUGAGGCAGCAGUGGGGAAUAUUGCACAAUGGGCGGACGCCUGAUGCAGCAACGCCGCGUGCGGGAUGACGGCCUUCGGGUUGUAAACCGCUUUCGCCUGUGACGAAGCGUGAGUGACGGUAAUGGGUAAAGAAGCACCGGCUAACUACGUG